CCAGUUCGAGACAAUCUUAUAAUUUGAAGAUCGUUGAUUUCAUAUUCAACAAUCUCCUGGUUUCUUUGGUCAUCAAUCCGGAUCCAUCAAGAAGAGUAGCUGAUAAUCUCUGAUAUUCCAAGUUCCAAUGGCGGAAAUGCCUAACAGUGACCCUCUUCCACCAGCAACUGCACAUAUGCUUCAGGCUCUUGAAGCCUUUCUGGAUACCCCACCACUUCCCUGUGUGUUCCGCUGUAUCUUUUGCCAUAAUCCCAUUGCUCAGGGCCAUAACUAUAUUCAGGAUCUUCAUCCAUUUUCCACGGCUCAGCUCCUCUUUGAUAACGCGUGAAUCUCCUGCAGGGAGUCUUGUGGAUAAGGUUUAUAUCUACUG